rnacentral:rRNA from 1 species
UCCGUAGGUGAACCUGCGGAAGGAUCAUUACCGAGUUUGAAUCUUACGAUUCAUCUCCCACCCCAUGUGUAUUGACUUGUCUCCGGCGGGAAACCGUUUGGAACAAUCAACUCUUGUCUCUCAGAGACUAAAAAAAUUAAAACUUUCAACAACGGAUCUCUUGGUUCUGGCAUCGAUGAAGAACGCAGCGAAAUGCGAUAAGUAAUGUGAAUUGCAGAAUUUAGUGAAUCAUCGAAUCUUUGAACGCACAUUGCACCCCUUGGUAAUCCUUGGGGUAUACCUGUUCGAGCGCCGUUUGUGUCUUAAGGCUUUGCCUUGCGUUGAUGCUGUCCCGAUAGGGACUCAUCUAAACACAUCGGCGCCUGUCUCGGCCCGGAACGCAAUAAACUGCGCGAAUGGUCUUGGCGGGCGCCAAUUUCCGAAAGCAUGGCCUCGGAUCAGGUAGGGAUACCCGCUGAACUUAA